GAGCGUUGGUGAGAGCGACCGGCUCAUACCCGGUAGGUCGGCGGUUCAAGUCCGCCCGCCG
rnacentral:tRNA from 1 species